ensembl:lncRNA
AAGCAAACAACUGUCAAUGAGCAAGUGUUAGUGAGCCCAUUCAAAGUCAUCAGCGUGGUGGUCCUCAGGUGGAGAGUGAGGUGGUACGCCUAGAUGGCCAGGUAAAAAUGGAGCACUGACAAGCAAGCCCCAAGGAAAUGUGUAACCUCCACAGGAUGUUUUAUUAUUGGCUUGGGAGGAAGUGAAACUCUGCUUCAACUUCCACAAAGUUCUUCCUGAUCAAUCCUAUGUGACCCUAAUGUCUGCUCAGAAGGAUUUAUCAAGUGUGUUUUUUGGAACAUCACUCGUCUAGGAUGCUCUGGGUCAUCUUCAGUCCACAGACUUAGAACUGUGCAUCUCUCCCGAAUGUAUAUCUCAAUCUUGGCCACUCCCUGGAGUCUAACUCACGGACCAAACUGCCAUCGAACAUCUCCAUUUAAGAGAUCAAUGGGGAUCUUCUGCAUCAUUUAUGUGAGAAGAUGGUAGGUUGGAGCUUGGAACAAUGUUUGGAAGGACAUUGCCUCCCCUUGGAAGCUAAAGCCCUGGCCAAUCUGAAGAAAGUAAAAACCAUUCCCAGUUUUGCUUUGCUAUUAGGAGAGAGAAAAAACCUUGAAGAUGGCCUUUGAGACUCCAGGAAUCUCUGCUGACCUCCACACUUCCAUCCCACCUUCUUCACUCUCUGUUCAGCUUCCCCCUCUCCUUCUCUCCCCUCAUGUUCUUUGUUUGGCUGCACUGGCCUUGAUUCAGUUCCUUACACCAACCAGAAGCCUUUGUUUGUAUUAUUUCUUCUGCCCAGAAGGCUCUUCCCCUUCACUUCUCUCUUUGACCUAAUUAACCAACCUCUAUCUUACAAACUGAUGCUCAUAUAAGACCUUCUAGCGCGAGCUUUCUCAUACCCUCUACACCAAAUGUCCUGUUAAUCUCACAAAAUGCCCUGUGCCUCUCUGUCAUAGGAGAGAAUCUCAGUCUGUACUUAUUUAUUUAUUUAUUUGACUGUUUUAAUGUCGUUCUCUCCUAACCAAGAGGAAAGAAAGCGCGUCUCUGCUCACCAUUAUAUCUCCUGCACUAUUACAGUGCCUGUCAGAGUUAACAAGUAUCUCUUGGAUUUAUGUGUGGUUGAAUGAAUGAGUUGGUGAGUGAAUAAUAAGAAAUCCACUGAAAAGUUUGGUCAAAUUUGAUACCUACUUUCUCAUUAUUAUCAAAUUGAAAAAUACUAGUUACUUGUUUUAUUUAAGAGCUUCCUAUGUCUUUCUUCAGCCAGUUAGCUUAUUUUUAGAACUACUGUUCAUGAGUUGGAAAACCAAUUCUAUAGCUACCUUUAUCUUUUAUUACUCUGAGCCUUGCUUGUUUUAAAAAUGAAGAGAGGAAAGAAAACACUCCAAUUUUGUGGUUCAGUUCACAUUUCAAUUUUUCUCUUCUUUCUUUUAUUCUGAACAUUGUAAAUGGUUUGAAAAACCAAGCUUUUGCAUUUAUAUUGAUCUUUUCAUCUACAGAUUUAUAAGAGCUUUAAAAACAUGUAUUAAUACUUACAAUAGCAUUUCAAACUAGAAAAUACAGCCACAUUAAAUCUCCGUUAAGAUAUAGAUGCUGUUAACAGGUUCACAAUAUGGCAGCAACAAUUUCAAAUACAAAUUAGGGGUUUUGAUUAAACCCUCUAAACUGACUAAUGGUGAGUUCCUCCUAGAGGCACCUGUCAUUUUAAAUCCAACAAUUACGACAUCUCUUCAAAGAAUAUAUGGAUUUAGAAAGCUCUAGCUUGAAAACUCAAGGAUUUAAAACAUUUGCAAAUAAAAAAAGGCAGGAUAACAUUUACUCUUCUAUUUCUAACUUCUCUAGAAAUGUUAUUGGAUUUUUAGCCUGACAUUUUCCCCUAAUAUAUACAAAUAAAGCUAUAAAUUUUCCUUCAAGCACAAGUUUUUGCUGUACUCUGUGAAUUUUGAUAUACCAUAUUUCAGUUAUUUUUUCACUUCCAAACAUUUUCUAAUUUUCAUUGGAAUUUCUUUUUUUGACCCAUGUGUUCUUUACAAAUGUAUUACUUAGUUUCCAAACAUUUAACCAUCUUCUAGUUAAUUUUUAAUGUUGUUAUAGAUUUCAGUCUUAAUUCCACUGUAAUAAAAGAACAUUGUAUGAUUUCAAUCUUUUGCAGUUUAAGACUAGCUGCUUGGUUUAUAUGUACAAUUUUUUAAAAUGUUCUGUGGGCAUUAAAAUGAAUGUUCUUAAAUGUUAUUAUACAUAUGUGAAUUAGAUAAAGUUUAUUAGUUGUGCUAAUUCAAAUAUUUUAUAUCCUUCCUGAUUUAUUUUAAUCUAUUUUGUUACUGAGAAAUGCUUAAUAAAAUCUCUAACCACACU